rnacentral:rRNA from 1 species
UGUUACGACUUCACCCCAGUCAUGAAUCACUCCGUGGUAACCGUCCCCCUUGCGGUUAGACUAGCUACUUCUGGAGCAACCCACUCCCAUGGUGUGACGGGCGGUGUGUACAAGGCCCGGGAACGUAUUCACCGUGACAUUCUGAUUCACGAUUACUAGCGAUUCCGACUUCACGCAGUCGAGUUGCAGACUGCGAUCCGGACUACGAUCGGUUUUAUGGGAUUAGCUCCACCUCGCGGCUUGGCAACCCUUUGUACCGACCAUUGUAGCACGUGUGUAGCCCUGGCCGUAAGGGCCAUGAUGACUUGACGUCAUCCCCACCUUCCUCCGG